AUUGAACGCUGGCGGCAGGCCUAACACAUGCAAGUCGAACGAGUGGCGGACGGGUGAGUAAUGUCUGGGAAACUGCCUGAUGGAGGGGGAUAACUACUGGAAACGGUAGCUAAUACCGCAUACCAUCGGAUGUGCCCAGAUGGGAUUAGCUAGUAGGUGGGGUAAAGGCUCACCUAAGCGACGAUCCCUAGCUGGUCUGCGCGGAUGACCAGCCACACUGGAACGGAGAAACGGUCCAGACUCCUACGUGAGGCAGCAGUGGGGAAUAUUGCACAAUGGGCGAAAGCCUGAUGCAGACAUGCGGCGUGUAUGAAGAAGGCCUUCGGGGUGUAAAGUACUUUCAGCGGGGAGGCGUUACCCGCAGAAGAAGCACCGGCUAACUCCGUGCCAGCCGCCGCGGUAAUUC
rnacentral:rRNA from 1 species